UAGGGAAUCUUCCGCAAUGGACGCAAGUCUGACGGAGCAACGCCGCGUGAGUGAUGAAGGUCUUCGGAUCGUAAAACUCUGUUAUUAGGGAAGAACAAAUGUGUAAGUAACUAUGCACGUCUUGACGGUACCUAAUCAGAAAGCCACGGCUAACUACGUGCCAGCAGCCGCGGUAAUACGUAGGUGGCAAGCGUUAUCCGGAAUUAUUGGGCGUAAAGCGCGCGUAGGCGGUUUUUUAAGUCUGAUGUGAAAGCCCACGGCUCAACCGUGGAGGGUCAUUGGAAACUGGAAAACUUGAGUGCAGAAGAGGAAAGUGGAAUUCCAUGUGUAGCGGUGAAAUGCGCAGAGAUAUGGAGGAACACCAGUGGCGAAGGCGACUUUCUGGUCUGUAACUGACGCUGAUGUGCGAAAGCGUGGGGAUCAAACAGG
rnacentral:rRNA from 1 species